rnacentral:misc_RNA from 1 species
UGCCUUUCCAAAAAGCUCUAAACCCUUCUUCAUGAAUAAUACGGGAAGCCUCACGCCAUAUGCUAGCCUUGCUUAAUGCUGUAACAUCAGCAUGCAUACCCUGAACCUGAAAGAGGAUAGUCAGGCGAGCCAGAGGAGCCGUGCAGGUCUUACUAAAAGCACCGGCAAUACCACCAGAAAGCAGCUGUUGUACGGUUCCUAUCUGCGCUUGAGGACUAAG